CGCAAUUCUGGCAGUAACUUACUUUAAACCCUGCAACAAUCUACUGUAUAUGAGUAUACAGUACACUACUGGGCAGAGCAAAGUAUUGUGGGUAAUAAACGGAUACUUAUGUACAGUACUGAUGUACUGUAAAUGAAUUUACAGUAGUACAAUCCCCGGGAAAAAAUUGACCAACCACAACGUUGCUCUGCUUCUCAAUUUUCUGACAAAGCCGCCAUCUUUGUGCUGCAGGAAAGCCGUUUGAGAUAUUGGUGAAAUUCAAACACUUUGUGAGAUGACAGAAUAUUGCUGAAGGAUCCUACAUGGAAGCUGGCUGAUUACACGGAGUGAUUCCUCUGGUGUGGUGUACCUCAGAGAAAUAAACACUGUUGCAACAGCUGAGAAGAUGGCCAAGAUAUCCUUAUUGCUGGAUGGUAGCUCUGGUCGUAGUGGACCAUAUCUGCAAAUGCUUCUGAACAUUGACAGAAUUU